rnacentral:rRNA from 1 species
UACGGGGGGGGCAAGCGUUGUUCGGAAUUACUGGGCGUAAAGGGUUUGUAGGUGGCUUGCUAAGUCAGACGUGAAAUCCCUCAGCUUAACUGGGGAACUGCAUCUGAUACUGGAUGGCUUGAGUUCGGGAGAGGGAUGCGGAAUUCCAGGUGUAGCGGUGAAAUGCGUAGAUAUCUGGAGGAACACCGGUGGCGAAGGCGGCAUCCUGGACCGACACUGACGCUGAGGAGCGAAAGCCAGGGGAGCAAACGGG